AACCCAUGCCCACGUUUGGUCAUUGGUCGAUUGCGAUUCCAAAGGUAUCGAUCGCCCGACGUUUCGAUCGACCAGAAAUUUUUUUUUUUGAGGGAUCGACCAGAAAAAUUACAUUCACCAUGCGCCUGUCGAUCGAAAGACCCCUCGUUGACUCGGUGCCUCGUUUCAUCCGCCGCCCCAGCCCCUGGACGGCUCGACAGACAGAACGAUCCGGACCUGUACUUGGCCUCGUCGCCUCAUCGCAGCAAGCCCCAUCUCCAAUUCCGGCGGCCACUUGUUCUGCUGCGUCUCCACAACUGGCUAGAGAUCCACCACUGUCUAGCCAAAUGAUUCCCUUCCUGGUGUCAAUGCUAUGGCUGACCCUGGCGAGAUGUUCUCUUCUGCUCGCUUAUUUGAAGUUGGCAGACAGCGACCAAUAGACGAUGAUUCAGAUCCGGAGGACGCAGGGGACACAGAGCAGGACGACGACGAUCCAGGUAACAACGAUGAUGAUGAUGAUGACGAUGCUGAGGAGGGUAUUGACAGUGGGGAUGAAAAUGAUGAUGAUGUUGACUUUGAAGAAGAAGGUGAGUUUGAUGUGGGAGGGGGGUUGCUGGAGAUUAUGGGUGACCGUAAUGGCGAAGACAUUGAUAUGAUCCUUUAGGAGCGGUGACAAAGAAGGUGGUUGGAUGAUGUAAGAGUAGAGGGAUUGGAUUUUUCUAAAGGCCGUGGUGGAUGCAAGAGCAAGGCCUGGAGCUGAAGGAAGAACACGUUUGGGUCACCCAGCCCAGUGUGAGUGUGCACCAGUCUGCACGAUCAACUUAAAGAGUUGUAAUUAUUGUCUUUUUGGAAGAAUACAUUGGAGUGCCUUUUAGAGCGCAACCUAAGUCUUGAGACAUUUAGAAGUUGUAUAUGUAAAGUUGUCGAAACUUUUGCGGUUUAUCGAUCGAAAUUUUGGGAAAUUCAUGUGUCAGGUGUGUUGUGCUGCCUGUUGAUGAAACUAGCCAAACCGGCUGUAUGUAGUCAAACGACCGCACACGAGAAACAUGUAAGAUCAGUUUCAGUGUUUCUGGCUUGUUUCUUCCAUGACAGCUUGGAGUUUAAUAUGAAGAUCAACCUUUUGGCAUUA